GGGUUGUGAGGUUAAGCGACUAAGCGUACACGGUGGAUGCCCUGGCAGUCAGAGGCGAUGAAGGACGUGCUAAUCUGCGAUAAGCGUCGGUAAGGUGAUAUGAAUCGUUAUAACCGGCGAUUUCCGAAUGGGGAAACCCAGUGUGAUUCGUCACACUAUCAUUAACUGAAUCCAUAGGUUAAUGAGGCGAACCGGGGGAACUGAAACAUCUAAGUACCCCGAGGAAAAGAAAUCAACCGAGAUUCCCCCAGUAGCGGCGAGCGAACGGGGAGCAGCCCAGAGCCUGAAUCAGUGUGUGUGUUAGUGGAAGCGUCUGGAAAGGCGUGCGAUACAGGGUGACAGCCCCGUACACAAAAAUGCACAUACUGUGAGCUCGAUGAGUAGGGCGGGACACGUGGUAUCCUGUCUGAAUAUGGGGGGACCAUCCUCCAAGGCUAAAUACUCCUGACUGACCGAUAGUGAACCAGUACCGUGAGGGAAAGGCGAAAAGAACCCCGGCGAGGGGAGUGAAAAAGAACCUGAAACCGUGUACGUACAAGCAGUGGGAGCACGCUUAGGCGUGUGACUGCGUACCUUUUGUAUAAUGGGUCAGCGACUUAUAUUCUGUAGCAAGGUUAACCGAAUAGGGGAGCCGAAGGGAAACCGAGUCUUAACUGGGCGUUAAGUUGCAGGGUAUAGACCCGAAACCCGGUGAUCUAGCCAUGGGCAGGUUGAAGGUUGGGUAACACUAACUGGAGGACCGAACCGACUAAUGUUGAAAAAUUAGCGGAUGACUUGUGGCUGGGGGUGAAAGGCCAAUCAAACCGGGAGAUAGCUGGUUCUCCCCGAAAGCUAUUUAGGUAGCGCCUCGUGAAUUCAUCUCCGGGGGUAGAGCACUGUUUCGGCAAGGGGGUCAUCCCGACUUACCAACCCGAUGCAAACUGCGAAUACCGGAGAAUGUUAUCACGGGAGACACACGGCGGGUGCUAACGUCCGUCGUGAAGAGGGAAACAACCCAGACCGCCAGCUAAGGUCCCAAAGUCAUGGUUAAGUGGGAAACGAUGUGGGAAGGCCCAGACAGCCAGGAUGUUGGCUUAGAAGCAGCCAUCAUUUAAAGAAAGCGUAAUAGCUCACUGGUCGAGUCGGCCUGCGCGGAAGAUGUAACGGGGCUAAACCAUGCACCGAAGCUGCGGCAGCGACGCUUAUGCGUUGUUGGGUAGGGGAGCGUUCUGUAAGCCUGCGAAGGUGUGCUGUGAGGCAUGCUGGAGGUAUCAGAAGUGCGAAUGCUGACAUAAGUAACGAUAAAGCGGGUGAAAAGCCCGCUCGCCGGAAGACCAAGGGUUCCUGUCCAACGUUAAUCGGGGCAGGGUGAGUCGACCCCUAAGGCGAGGCCGAAAGGCGUAGUCGAUGGGAAACAGGUUAAUAUUCCUGUACUUGGUGUUACUGCGAAGGGGGGACGGAGAAGGCUAUGUUGGCCGGGCGACGGUUGUCCCGGUUUAAGCGUGUAGGCUGGUUUUCCAGGCAAAUCCGGAAAAUCAAGGCUGAGGCGUGAUGACGAGGCUCUACGGUGCUGAAGCAACAAAUGCCCUGCUUCCAGGAAAAGCCUCUAAGCAUCAGGUAACAUCAAAUCGUACCCCAAACCGACACAGGUGGUCAGGUAGAGAAUACCAAGGCGCUUGAGAGAACUCGGGUGAAGGAACUAGGCAAAAUGGUGCCGUAACUUCGGGAGAAGGCACGCUGAUAUGUAGGUGAAGUCCCUCGCGGAUGGAGCUGAAAUCAGUCGAAGAUACCAGCUGGCUGCAACUGUUUAUUAAAAACACAGCACUGUGCAAACACGAAAGUGGACGUAUACGGUGUGACGCCUGCCCGGUGCCGGAAGGUUAAUUGAUGGGGUCAGCGCAAGCGAAGCUCUUGAUCGAAGCCCCGGUAAACGGCGGCCGUAACUAUAACGGUCCUAAGGUAGCGAAAUUCCUUGUCGGGUAAGUUCCGACCUGCACGAAUGGCGUAAUGAUGGCCAGGCUGUCUCCACCCGAGACUCAGUGAAAUUGAACUCGCUGUGAAGAUGCAGUGUACCCGCGGCAAGACGGAAAGACCCCGUGAACCUUUACUAUAGCUUGACACUGAACAUUGAGCCUUGAUGUGUAGGAUAGGUGGGAGGCUUUGAAGUGUGGACGCCAGUCUGCAUGGAGCCGACCUUGAAAUACCACCCUUUAAUGUUUGAUGUUCUAACGUUGACCCGUAAUCCGGGUUGCGGACAGUGUCUGGUGGGUAGUUUGACUGGGGCGGUCUCCUCCUAAAGAGUAACGGAGGAGCACGAAGGUUGGCUAAUCCUGGUCGGACAUCAGGAGGUUAGUGCAAUGGCAUAAGCCAGCUUGACUGCGAGCGUGACGGCGCGAGCAGGUGCGAAAGCAGGUCAUAGUGAUCCGGUGGUUCUGAAUGGAAGGGCCAUCGCUCAACGGAUAAAAGGUACUCCGGGGAUAACAGGCUGAUACCGCCCAAGAGUUCAUAUCGACGGCGGUGUUUGGCACCUCGAUGUCGGCUCAUCACAUCCUGGGGCUGAAGUAGGUCCCAAGGGUAUGGCUGUUCGCCAUUUAAAGUGGUACGCGAGCUGGGUUUAGAACGUCGUGAGACAGUUCGGUCCCUAUCUGCCGUGGGCGCUGGAGAACUGAGGGGGGCUGCUCCUAGUACGAGAGGACCGGAGUGGACGCAUCACUGGUGUUCGGGUUGUCAUGCCAAUGGCACUGCCCGGUAGCUAAAUGCGGAAGAGAUAAGUGCUGAAAGCAUCUAAGCACGAAACUUGCCCCGAGAUGAGUUCUCCCUGACUCCUUGAGAGUCCUGAAGGAACGUUGAAGACGACGACGUUGAUAGGCCGGGUGUGUAAGCGCAGCGAUGCGUUGAGCUAACCGGUACUAAUGAACCGUGAGGCUUAACCUUACAACGCCGAAG
rnacentral:rRNA from 1 species